UCGGGGUGUGACUGCGUACCUUUUGUAUAAUGGGUCAGCGACUUAUAUUCUGUAGCAAGGUUAACCGUAUAGGGGAGCCGGAGGGAAACCGAGUCUUAAUUGGGCGUUAAGUUGCAGGGUAUAGACCCGAAACCCGGUGAUCUAGCCAUGGGCAGGUUGAAGGUUGGGUAACACUAACUGGAGGACCGAACCGACUAAUGUUGAAAAAUUAGCGGAUGACCUGUGGCUGGGGGUGAAAGGCCAAUCAAACCGGGAGAUAGCUGGUUCUCCCCGAAAGCUAUUUAGGUAGCGCCUCGUGAAUUCAUCUCCGGGGGUAGAGCACUGUUUCGGCUAGGGGGCCAUCCCGGCUUACCAACCCGAUGCAAACUGCGAAUACCGGAGAAUGUUAUCACGGGAGACACACGGCGGGUGCUAACGUCCGUCGUGAAGAGGGAAACAACCCAGACCGCCAGCUAAGGUCCCAAAGUCAUGGUUAAGUGGGAAACGAUGUGGGAAGGCCCAGACAGCCAGGAUGUUGGCUUAGAAGCAGCCAUCAUUUAAAGAAAGCGUAAUAGCUCACUGGUCGAGUCGGCCUGCGCGGAAGAUGUAACGGGGCUAAACCAU
rnacentral:rRNA from 1 species